UGAGGAAUAUUGCGCAAUGGGGGCAACCCUGACGCAGCGACGCCGCGUGAGUGAGGAAGGCCUUCGGGUCGUAAAGCUCUGUCAAAGGGAAAGAAAUGCAUAAUGGCUAAUACCUGUUAUGUUUGACGGUACCCUUAAAGGAAGCACCGGCUAACUCCGUGCCAGCAGCCGCGGUAAUACGGAGGGUGCAAGCGUUGUUCGGAAUCACUGGGCGUAAAGGGCGCGUAGGCGGUUUGAUAAGUCAGAUGUGAAAGCCCACGGCUUAACUGUGGAAGUGCAUUUGAAACUGUCAGACUUGAGUAUCAGAGGGGAAAGUGGAAUUCCCGGUGGAGCGGUGAAAUGCGUAGAUAUCGGGAGGAACACCAGAGGCGUAGGCGGUUCUCUAGGCUAGUCCUGACACUGAGACACGAAAGCUAGGGGAGCAAACG
rnacentral:rRNA from 1 species